rnacentral:rRNA from 1 species
ACCCUGAUGCAGCGACGCCGCGUGAGUGAAGAAGUAUUUCUUGUAUGUCAAGCUCUAUCGGCAGGGAAGAAGCAGGACAAAAAAAAACUAGGAGGCCCCGGCUAACUACGUCCCACCAGCCGCGUUAAUACGUAGGAGGCGGGCUUUAUCCGGAUUUACUGGGUGUAAAGGGAGCCUAGACGGCAUGGCAAGUCUGGAGUGAAAGCCCGGGGCCCAACCCCGGGACUGCUCUGGAAACUUCCAUGCUAGAGUGCUGGAGAGGUAAGUGGAAUUCCUAGUGUAGCGGUGAAAUGCAUAGAUUUUAGGAGGAACACCAGUGGCGAAGGCGGCUUACUGGACAGUGACUGACGUUGAGGCUCGAAAGCGUGGGGAGCAAACAGGAUUAGAUACCCUGGUAGUCCACGCCGUAAACGAUGGAUACUAGGUGUCGGUGGGCAAAGCCCAUCGGUGCCGCCGCAAACGCAAUAAGUAUCCCACCUGGGGAGUACGUUCGCAAGAAUGAAACUCAAAGGAAUUGACGGGGACCCGCACAAGCGGUGGAGCAUGUGGUUUAAUCCGAAGCAACGCGAAGAACCUUACCAAGUCUUGACAUCCCCCUGGCCGGUCCGUAACGGGGCCUUUCCUACGGGACAGGGGAGACAGGUGGUGCAUGGUUGUCGUCAGCUCGUGUCGUGAGAUGUUGGGUUAAGUCCCGCAACGAGCGCAACCCUUAUCCUCAGUAGCCAGCAGGUAGAGCUGGGCACUCUGUGGAGACUGCCAGGGACAACCUGGAGGAAGGUGGGGAUGACGUCAAAUCAUCAUGCCCCUUAUGAUUUGGGCUACACACGUGCUACAAUGGCGUAGACAGAGGGAAGCGAGAGGGAGACCUGGAGCGAACCCCAAAAAAGACGUCCCAGUUCGGACUGUGGUCUGCAACCCGACCACACGAAGCUGGAAUCGCUAGUAAUCGC